rnacentral:rRNA from 1 species
UACAGAGGUCUCAAGCGUUGUUCGGAUUCAUUGGGCGUAAAGGGCGCGUAGGCGGGUGUCCAAGUCAGGGGUGAAAUCCUCCAGCUUAACUGGAGAACUGCCUGUGAUACUGGACGUCUGGAGUGAGGUAGGGGCCAAUGGAAUUCCGGGUGUAGCGGUGGAAUGCGUAGAGAUCCGGAAGAACACCGGUGGCGAAGGCGGUUGGCUGGGCAGGUGCUGACACUGAGGCGCGACAGCGUGGGGAGCAAACAGG